rnacentral:rRNA from 1 species
UACAGAGGUGGCAAGCGUUGUUCGGAAUUACUGGGCGUAAAGGGCGAGUAGGCGGCCUUCUAAGUCAGACGUGAAAUCCCCCGGCUUAACCUGGGAACUGCGUCUGAUACUGGGAGGCUUGAGUAUGGGAGAGGGAUGUAGAAUUCCAGGUGUAGCAGUGAAAUGCGUAGAUAUCUGGAGGAAUACCGGUGGCGAAGGCGGCAUCCUGGACCAUUACUGACGCUGAAUCGCGAAAGCUAGGGGAGCAAACGGG